CAUGAAGACUGGUUUUAAUUCUGUUUAUGUUGGAGUAUUUCAGCCUACAUUUAUGUCUAAUAUCACUGUCAUUGUUAACAAUAGUAAAUUCAGUAGAAAUAAUUAUUUAGCUUUAACAACAGGGUCAUGCAUGCAUGCGGGAACUCACUAUCCUCAUGAGAACAAUCAGUGCAAAGUAUUGAACAUUGUACUUACUAAUAUUAAAGUGUCCAAUAACAUGUUAAUUAACAGAUGUUAAAGUUACUAACUCCAGAAAUGCAGUGUUCACAAUUCAAAAUCUCGCAACACUUAGUAUUGGUGGGGUCAGUGAUUUUUCUGAUAACUAUGGCUCAGUAUUUAAAGAAAUAAAGCAGAGAGUGGAGCAGCAUUUGAUCUUAAUGGCAACACUCAUAUUUAUCCUGAAGUUCCUGGUAAUGGAUAUAAUGUUACUUUCAUUGACAAUGUUGCUGUGACUAAAGGAGGAGCUAUAUAUGCUAAUGAUGAUGCAUCUAACUUAUGCAUUUUCCAGAUGCUUAGCAAUAAAACUAAGAUGACAUUCAAAAAUAUCACUGCUGGCAAAUCAGGUAGCUCUAUAUACAGUAACAAUAAUGUUCCAAUGUUUCAGGUACAAUGAAUUAGGAUCUGGACAACUUAAAAAACCAAACAGUCACUGUCACUUUAUAACUUAACAUUUACUUCUGUUUCUUCAUCCCAUCUUCAUAGUAUCUCAACACUUUUUCGCAUUGGAAUUAUGUAAAGCAGAAGAAUUUCAUUUAAGUCAAAUAUAAGGUCAAACACUGAUGCUACAUUUUUGUGCAAAAGAUCUAUAUAGGCAUGCAAUGAUCAGGGACUUGACAACAGGAAGGUUUGCAAGGAUGAUGUGUAAACUAGAUACUCUCACUGCUUCUUGAACAAGGACUUGUAUCAAAAUUAGUACUUCAGUGCAGUUUCACUGAACACUGUUAUUGUUUGUGUAACAAUUAAUACUAAAAUACCACAAUACCAAUGGACACCAUCUGAAGAAAUA